rnacentral:rRNA from 1 species
GGGCCCGCACAAGCAGCGGAGCAUGUUGUUUAAUUCGAUGCAACGCGAAGAACCUUACCAGGUCUUGACAUUGAUGUAAACCUGUAGAGAUACGGGGUCCCUUCGGGGGACUGAAAACAGGUGGUGCAUGGUUGUCGUCAGCUCGUGUCGUGAGAUGUUGGGUUAAGUCCCGCAACGAGCGCAACCCUUAUGAUCAGUUACUAACGGGUGAAGCCGAGGACUCUGAUGAGACUGCCGGGGACAACUCGGAGGAAGGUGGGGACGACGUCAAAUCAUCAUGCCCCUUAUGACCUGGGCUACAAACGUGCUACAAUGGUGGCUACAAAGAGGGGCGAGCUCGCAAGAGUAAGCGGAUCUCAAAAAAGCCAUCCCAGUUCGGAUUGUGGGCUGCAACCCGCCCACAUGAAGUUGGAGUUGCUAGUAAUCGCGGAUCAGCAUGCCGCGGUGAAUACGUUCCCGGGCCUU